rnacentral:rRNA from 1 species
GUAGGUGGCAAGCGUUGUCCGGAAUUAUUGGGCGUAAAGCGCGCGCAGGUGGGGUUCUUUUAAGUCUGAUGUGAAAGCCCCCGGGCUCAACCGGGGAGGGUCAUUGGAAACCGGGGAACUUGAGUGCAGGAGAGGAAAGUGGAAUUCCACGUGUAGCGGUGAAAUGCGUAGAUAUGUGGAGGAACACCAGUGGCGAAGGCGACUUUCUGGCCUGUAACUGACACUGAGGCGCGAAAGCGUGGGGAGCAAACAGGAUUAGAUACCCUGGUAGUCCACGCCGUAAACGAUGAGUGCUAAGUGUUGGGGGGUUUCCGCCCCUCAGUGCUGCAGCUAACGCAUUAAGCACUCCGCCUGGGGAGUACGGUCGCAAAGACUG